GACGAACGCUGGCGGCGUGCUUAACACAUGCAAGUCGAACGGAAAGGCCCUGCUUUUGUGGGGUGCUCGAGUGGCGAACGGGUGAGUAACACGUGAGUAACCUGCCCUUGACUUUGGGAUAACUUCAGGAAACUGGGGCUAAUACCGGAUAGGCGCUCCUGCUGCAUGGUGGGGGUUGGAAAGUUUCGGCGGUUGGGGAUGGACUCGCGGCUUAUCAGCUUGUUGGUGGGGUAGUGGCUUACCAAGGCUUUGACGGGUAGCCGGCCUGAGAGGGUGACCGGCCACAUUGGGACUGAGAUACGGCCCAGACUCCUACGGGAGGCAGCAGUGGGGAAUAUUGCACAAUGGGCGGAAGCCUGAUGAAGCAACGCCGCGUGCGGGAUGACGGCCUUCGGGUUGUAAACCGCUUUCGCCUGUGACGAAGCGUGAGUGACGGUAAUGGGUAAAGAAGCACCGGCUAACUACGUG
rnacentral:rRNA from 1 species